UACGUAGGCAGCAAGCGUUGUUCGGAAUUACUGGGCGUAAAGAGUGUGUAGGCGGUGCUCUAAGUUCGGUGUGAAAUCUCCCGGCUUAACUGGGAGGGUGCGCCGGAAACUGGAGUGCUCGAGCGUGGGAGAGGAAAGCGGAAUUCCUGGUGUAGCGGUGAAAUGCGUAGAUAUCAGGAGGAACACCUGCGGUGUAGACGGAUUUCUGGACCAUUGCAGACGCUGAGACACGAAAGCGUGGGGAGAGAACAGG
rnacentral:rRNA from 1 species